rnacentral:rRNA from 1 species
CGAACGGCUCCGUAUAUCGGUUGCAACCCGGGGGGGUAGUGAGGUGCUGUGUAAGUGAGCGAUGCCUCGAAGGAUAUCCGAGGCAAUUCUUUGGCAUAAUACUUAUUUAAAAUCCCGCUGCGUUUGAGGGGAAGCCUGCGCCAGCAGGCUUGGGGCCGCGGGGCCCUUAAAAGCUCCGCGGUAACUUUGUAGCUCGCGGUCCGCCCUCACGGGCUCCGCUUGCACCUCCUCCGGUUGGACUCAAGUUGGGGGCCGCCCCCCCACACGAAUGAGGACGGGAGAAUCGUGGCUCCCGGACUCCUUAAGCUCACAGACCCACGAUGAAUCAGGGGGUGCCUACCAUACUGGCUAACCAGAUGGCCAGAGCGCCCCCCGGGCUUCUGCCCUAUCAACUAUACAGCGCGGGACCGCCCCCCGGUGGUGACAACGGGUACAGAGGAUCAGGGUUCGAUCCUGGAGAGGAAGCCUUAAAGAUCGCUUCCACUUCUAAGGAAGGCAGCAGGCGCGCAACGUUCCCAAUGGGGGCACCCUGAGGACGUGAAGGGACGUAACAAUGCCCGCCCCAUAAAGGCGGGCAAUUGAGAUGGGGUCGUUUUAAAUCCCCUACCGAGUAACAAUUGGAGGACAAGUCUGGUGCCAGCACCCGCGGUAAUUCCAGCUCCGAUAGCAUCUUGUUGAGUUGUUGCAGUUAAAACGCUCGUAGUCCGAGUGUGCACCCCCCUCCCGGCAACCGGCCGGUGCUCGUGUUUCUUGGAUUUGCGCCCUCUCUGCUCUCCUUCGGGAUUGCGGCUUGGGAAUUGCGUCCAGGGGAUCGACCCGCGUUGGUCCGUGGGGCGGGGGUGCAUACUGAUCCGGAACCGGAUAGGGGGGCCAUGUACUUGGUCCCCCCCUGUACGCCCGGGUCGUAUUACUUUGAGUAAAUUAGAGCGCUCAAAGCAGGUCAUCUGCGGAGGACCUUAAGGAAAACCACCGAAUAUCACAGCAAAGAAUAAUGGAGUAGGCCUAGCCAUGUCCAUUGGUCGUGGUAGAGGAAUGGUCAAUUGGGGGGAUCGGGGUGGACCACAUGCACGGGGUAGGGGUGAAAUCCGUUGAUCCUGUGUAGGUGCCCAAGAGCGAAAGCAGUCCACUAGUACCCUUUCUUUGAUCAAGAACGAAAGUCUGGGGAGCGAAGAUGAUCAGAUACCAUCGUAGUCCAGACCCUAAAUGAUGCCGACUUUGGAUCGGGGACCGCCCCUCUGGCAGCCUAGGCACCAUGUGAGAAAUCAGUAGUGUCUGGGCUCUGGGGGGAGUAUGGUCGCAAGACUGAAACUUAAAGGAAUUGACGGAAGAGCACACAAGGAGUGGAGCCUGCGGCUUAAUUUGACUCAACACGGGGAAACUCACAGAAGCCGGAAAUGGUUGUGAUUGUCCGCCCUACAGGGGCUGCUUGAUUUUAUUAGUGGUGGUGCAUGGUCGUUCUUAGUUCGUGGAGUGAUUUGUCUGGUUUAUUCCGCUAACGAGCGAGAACCCCUUCUUCCAUAGUUGCGUGCAGGGUGGCCGCCUGGGGAGUGCCGUUUCAUUUGCUGCGGUGGGGCGUGUAAGGAGCCGUUGUGGGUGGUGAGGUCAAGGGCCGCUGGAGGUGGUGGGGUUCGCGCCCUGCCGCUAAAGGUGGAUUCCUGGCUUUGCUAGCUGCAGCGGCCACCUGCUCGCUAUUCCAAACUGCCACAGUCGGGUGAUUCUGGCGCGAGCCUGGCUGAAAACGUGCCAUCAGGCCGGACCUUGGGGAACAGCCCAGAACAACUGGGCUGUAGCGGGGUCAAUAACAGGUCAGUGAUGCCCUUAGAUGCUUCUGGCUGCACGCGCGCUACACUGGGGGGGUGAGCGGGCUCUCCCGCACCGAGAGGUGGUGGGGAACCCUGUGAAACCCCCCCGUGUCUGGGAUCGUUGGGUGCAAAAACCCUUCGUGAACAAGGAAUUUCUAGUAAUCGCAGGUCACAAGCCUGCGGUGAUUUCGUCCCUGCUCUUUGUACACACCGCCCGUCGCUCCUACCGAUUGGGUUGCCUGGUGAACCACAUGGAGGCGGCUGUUGGAGGCCUUCCCCAGGGAAGGCCUGUCCCGAAAGGGCGGCAACGGCCAUUUUCAUGCCGAAGUGUGGUGAACCUCGCGACCUAGAGGAAGGAGAAGUCGUA